rnacentral:rRNA from 1 species
UACAGAGGAGCCAAGCGUUGUCCGAAUUGACUGGGCGUAAAGCGCACGCAGGCGGACGCGCGCGUGGGGUGUGAAAUCUGGCCGCUUAACGGCCAGGCGCCAUCCCAUACGGCGGGUCUGGAGCCUUGCAGAGGUCGGUGGAAUUGCCGGUGUAGUGGUGAAAUGCGUAGAGAUCGGCAGGAACACCCAGGGGGGAAACCAGCCGACUGGGCAAGCGU